CACGGCACUCACUCUAGCCUGGGCAACAAAGUGAGACUCUGUCUCAAAAAAAAAAAAAAAAGAGAUGUGCAGAUUUGGGAUUCAAAGUAUUCUCCCACUCCUAAACUUAAGUAGAUCAACAGAAAGAUGAUAUAUUUUUGGUGCUAGAUACCUCUAAAGAAUGGUAGAAACCCCACUCUGGGCAGGUGGGCAGGUGACUCCAUUGGCUGUGAGAAUCUUUUGAUGACAUGAUUUUCUUUUCAAAAGUAUGGUCCCUUUGAAGCCAAUGAAAGUUGAAUAAAAUUCCUUUUCUAACUCUCAUGGCUUAAAUAUAUUUCUUUAUAUCAAACUAUACAAAUGUAAUAAUGAGAAUAGUAAAGGAAAAAGCUUUGACAGAAUUCUGGCUUCCAUUCUCUUCCUUGUUCUCCACAGUUUUAGUCUUUCCUCCACCCUGUUCAUCAAGUGAAGCAAUAAAUCACUGGCAAAUAGAACUUGGUUUUCUUUGUAUCAAAAACUAGAAGCAGAACAGGCCCACUGGAUUCUUCUGUGGCUGGGGAGGCUUCAAAGUGAACUUGGCAAUGAUACUCGGUGUCUUGACCAGCAAGCAGCUCUUGUUACAAUGGGAUCCUUAAUCUCUAUGGUUCACUGCGGGAAGAACAGCAGAAGAGCAGGAGCAAAUCAAGCACCUCCUGGACAGAGCCCAAGGCAUCUGAAAAGGAAACUUUUUCAUUGCCAAAGGAGGGUGAAUAAAGAUGACUCUGGGAGAAGACACAGCCUACUGCUAAGACGUUGGCAUCAGCCAGAGCUGCGUUCAGCUCUCUUCUGACUGUGAACUGGGACAAACCACUUCAUCUUUCUUUCUAAGCCUCAGUGUACUCAUUUGUAAAAUGGGAACAAUUUAUUUAUAGGAAAAAAAUCAGAAUAUGAAAACAGUGUAUCUUCUCUGGAGAGUAAAAUUGAGAAAUAUUUA